CUAGGAUGAACGCUAGCUACAGGCUUAACACAUGCAAGUCGAGGGGCAUCGGGAAGUUAGCUUGCUAACUUGCCGGCGACCGGCGCACGGGUGAGUAACGCGUAUCCAACCUUCCCCUUAGUAGGGCAUAGCCCGGCGAAAGUCGGAUUAAUACCCUAUGUUCUUCGUCGAGGACAUCUGAAGUGAAGCAAAGACUUGUCGCUAAGGGAUGGGGAUGCGUCUGAUUAGGUAGUAGGCGGGUAACGGCCCACCUAGCCGACGAUCAGUAGGGGUUCUGAGAGGAAGGUCCCCCACAUUGGAACUGAGACACGGUCCAAACUCCUACGGGAGGCAGCAGUGAGGAAUAUUGGUCAAUGGACGUAAGUCUGAACCAGCCAAGUAAGCGUGCAGGAUGACGGCCCUAUGGGUUGUAAACUGCUUUUAUGCGGGGAUAAAGUGAGGGACGUGUCCCUUUUUGUAGGUACCGCAUGAAUAAGGACCGGCUAAUUCCGUGCCAGCCGCGGC
rnacentral:rRNA from 1 species